UCCUGGCUCAGAUUGAACGCUGGCGGCAUGCCUUACACAUGCAAGUCGAACGGCAGCACGGGUGCUUGCACCUGGUGGCGAGUGGCGAACGGGUGAGUAAUACAUCGGAACAUGUCCUGUAGUGGGGGAUAGCCCGGCGAAAGCCGGAUUAAUACCGCAUACGAUCUACGGAUGAAAGCGGGGGACCUUCGGGCCUCGCGCUAUAGGGUUGGCCGAUGGCUGAUUAGCUAGUUGGUGGGGUAAAGGCCUACCAAGGCGACGAUCAGUAGCUGGUCUGAGAGGACGACCAGCCACACUGGGACUGAGACACGGCCCAGACUCCUACGGGAGGCAGCAGUGGGGAAUUUUGGACAAUGGGCGAAAGCCUGAUCCAGCAAUGCCGCGUGUGUGAAGAAGGCCUUCGGGUUGUAAAGCACUUUUGUCCGGAAAGAAAUCCUUGGUUCUAAUAUAACCGGGGGAUGACGGUACCGGAAGAAUAAGCACCGGCUAACUACGUGCCAGCAG
rnacentral:rRNA from 1 species